rnacentral:rRNA from 2 species
AACGUAGGAGGCGAGCGUUAUCCGGAUUUACUGGGCGUAAAGCGCGUGCAGGCGGAUUGGAGAGUUGGAUGUGAAAGCUCCCGGCUUAACUGGGAGAGGUCGUUCAAUACUUCCAGUCUUGAGUGCAGUAGAGGGAAGUGGAAUUCCGGGUGUAGUGGUGAAAUGCGUAGAUAUCCGGAGGAACACCAGUGGCGAAAGCGGCUUCCUGGACUGUAACUGACGCUCAGACGCGAAAGCUAGGGUAGCAAACGGG